rnacentral:rRNA from 1 species
ACGCUGGCGGCAGGCCUAAGUCAUGCAGGUUGAACGGCUGUAGCAAUACAGCAGUAGCGGACGGGUGAGUAAUGUAUGGGAACGUAUCUUCUAGUGGGAAUAUUCUUUGGAAACGAAGAGCAAUACCGCAUGAGUCCUACGGGAGAAAGUCGCAAGACGCUAGAUGAGCGGCCCAUAUUGGAUUAGCUAGUUGGUUAGGUAAUGGCUGACCAAGGCAACGAUCCAUAGCUGGUCUAAGAGGACGAUCAGCCACAUUGGGACUGAGACACGGCCCAGACUCCUACGGGAGGCAGCAGUCAGGAAUAUUGGACAAUGGGGGCAACCCUGAUCCAGCCCAUGCCGCGUGAGUGUUAAGGUCUUCGGAUUGUAAAGCUCUUUUGUGUGGGAAAAUGAUGAUGGUACCACAAGAAUAAGCACCGGCUAACUUCGUGCCAGCAGCCGC